rnacentral:rRNA from 1 species
UACGAAGGGUGCAAGCGUUGUUCGGAAUUAUUGGGCGUAAAGCGCACGUAGGCGGCCUUGUAAGUCUCACUGUGAAAGUCCGGGGCUCAACCCCGGGAUGCCAGGGGAUACUGCGAGGCUGGAGACAAGCAGAGGUUGGUAGAAUUCCGGGUGUAGCGGUGGAAUGCGUAGAGAUCCGGAGGAAUACCAGAGGCGAAGGCGGCCAACUGGGCUUGUUCUGACGCUGAGGUGCGAAAGCGUGGGGAGCAAACAGG